rnacentral:rRNA from 1 species
UACGUAGGGGGGCUAGCGUUGUCCGGAAUCAUUGGGCGUAAAGAGCGUGUAGGCGGUCCGGUAAGUCCGCUGUGAAAGUCGGGGGCUCAACCCUCGAAUGCCGGUGGAUACUGUCGGGCUAGAGUGCGGAAGAGGCGAGUGGAAUUCCUGGUGUAGCGGUGAAAUGCGCAGAUAUCAGGAGGAACACCUAUUGCGAAGGCAGCUCGCUGGGACGUAACUGACGCUGAGACGCGAAAGCGUGGGGAGCGAACAGG